rnacentral:rRNA from 1 species
GAUGAACGCUAGCGGCAGGCUUAAUACAUGCAAGGCGAGGGGGCAGCAAUGUCACCGUCGUACGGGUGCGUAACGCGUAUGCAACCUACCUUCAACUGGGGGAUAGCCCGGGGAAACCCGGAUUAAUACCGCAUAACACAGGGGGCUCUCAUGGGUCUAUUUGUUAAAGAUUUAUAGGUUGAAGAUGGGCAUGCGUUCGA